UGAGUUUGUGGUGAUGCCUUUC
rnacentral:siRNA from 1 species